rnacentral:rRNA from 1 species
AACGAGAAAGUCCCCUUUCGGGGGACAAGUAAAGUGGCGCACGGGUGAGUAACACGUAGGUAAUCUACCUUCGGGUGGGGAAUAACCCAGGGAAACUUGGGCUAACACCGCAUAAUGCAGCGGCACCACAUGGUGACAGUUGUUAAAGCGGGGGAUUUUAGGACCUCGCGCCUGAAGAGGAGCCUGCGGCGGAUUAGCUUGUUGGUAAGGUAACGGCUUACCAAGGCGACGAUCCGUAGCCGGCCUGAGAGGGCGGUCGGCCACACUGACACUGACAUACGGGUCAGACUCCUACGGGAGGCAGCAGUCGGGAAUUUUGGGCAAUGGGCGAAAGCCUGACCCAGCAACGCCGCGUGAAGGAUGAAAUCCCUCGGGAUGUAAACUUCGCAAGAAUGGGAAGAAUUAGCGAGCGCUAAUACCGCUCGUGAUGACGGUACCAUUUGUAAGCUCCGGCUAACUCCGUGCCAGCAGCCGCGGUAAUACGGGGGGAGCAAGCGUUGUUCGGAUUUACUGGGCGUAAAGGGCGCGUAGGCGGCCAGCGCAAGUCAGUUGUGAAAUCUCCGGGCUUAACUCGGAAAGGUCAACUGAUACUGCGCGGCUAGAGUGCGGAAGGGGCAACUGGAAUUCUCGGUGUAGCGGUGAAAUGCGUAGAUAUCGAGAGGAACACCUGCGGCGAAGGCGGGUUGCUGGGCCGACACUGACGCUGAUGCGCGAAAGCCAGGGGAGCGAACGGGAUUAGAUACCCCGGUAGUCCUGGCCUAAACGAUGGAUGCUUGGUGUCUGGGGUUUUAUAGUCCCCGGGUGCCGUAGCUA